rnacentral:lncRNA from 1 species
CACAGGCAGCACCCUUUUGCAGAAGUAGAUGUGCGUUGCUGAGAAGUUUUCUCCCUAAGUUCUGGUUUUCUUUGCAGCACCCAGCAUUUGUUUCUAACACAGGGAAAGAGUGAGCUGUAAAAACCUCUCAAAUUCAAGAAAGCGUAAAGCAAAUUGAACAAUACGGGUGAGGAGCACGGACUAUUCUCUCAUGUUGAAUGUGGCACUUUUUACAUAUAAGCAGGAGAGCAACUACACCAAGAUUUUGGAAAACAUGUUAUGUAAGAAAUUUUCCUCAUUAAAUGCCUGAAUGUUUAUACCAUACAGCAAAUAUCCCAUACUGGGCCCCAACAGAUGACUCAGUUGGCUGUUAAUGAAUGAUUUGGUCAAAGAUAGAAACAAACUAAGCGUGAGUUUGAGGAAGCCCUGAAGCCAGUUUCCAGUAUAUGGUGACAUCUCUCUGGUGGUCAGGUGGACCUGAUUUUUUUCUACAUAGCAUUUCACAGUAUUCAGUAUCCUGUUAAUUGUAAUCCGAUCUCCCCUGGAGAGAAAAUGAAGCUGCUCACCUUCAUGAUUUUGUCUGAAAUCUGGAUGAUCUUUUGCCUGGAUAAUGGUCAACACUCAAUUUGGCUUUGAAGAGUCAGGCCCACAAUCUCAAUUGUGAUAUAGAGAAGAGCCCACAUUUCUACUCAGAUUUUUGCUACAAUAAUAGAAUUCGUAUCUAAAAUAAUAAAGAAUUAAUUGAUACCUCAUAUAAGUUGAAUCAUGCAAUAUCUGUCCUUCUGUGACUGGCUUAUUUCACUUAGCAUAACUCCCUCUAGGUCCAUCUAUUUCACCUAUAUG